rnacentral:rRNA from 1 species
CAGCAGCCGCGGUAAUUCCAGCUCCAUUAGCGUAUAUUAAAGUUGUUGCAGUUAAAAAGCUCGUAGUUGGAUUUCAGUACGGGCCAGUUGGUCGGCCGCAAGGCCUGUUACUGGCUGGUCUGUUCUUCUUCUCAAAGACUUCGUGUGCUCUUCGCUGAGUGUGCGUAGAAUUUGGGACGUUUACUUUGAAAAAAUUAGAGUGUUCAAGGCAGGCUAGACAGCUUGAAUACAUGAGCAUGGAAUAAUGGAAUAGGACUACGGUCCCUAUUUCGUUGGUUUCGAGGACCGAAGUAAUGAUUAAGAGGGACAGUUGGGGGCAUCCGUAUUUCGUAGUCAGAGGUGAAAUUCUUGGAUCUACGAAAGACGAACAACUGCGAAAGCAUUUGCCAAGAGUGUUUUCAUUAAUCAAGAACGAAAGUUAGAGGAUCGAAGACGAUCAGAUACCGUCCUAGUUCUAACCGUAAACGAUGCCGACUAGGGAUCAGUGGGUGUUAUUGUACGACCCCAUUGGCACCUCACGGGAAACCAAAGUGUUUGGGUUCCGGGGGAAGUAUAGUCGCAAGGCCGAAACUUAAAGGAAUUGACGGAAGGGCACCACCAGGAGUGGAGCCUGCGGCUUAAUUUGACUCAACACGGG